rnacentral:lncRNA from 1 species
AUCAGCAGAGCUUUUCAUUCAAGCAUUGCUGGUCCCAAGAACAGAAGCCGAUCUAGAAGUCAGAUGCAGGUGGCCAAACAUCUCUUCGCUUGGCUUGUCAGAGUGACUGCUUCCUGGUUGGCUGUAUGAACUCUUUCACCUCCCUAGUGAUUCACAGGCGAGAGGGCAACACCUGCUCCCUCUUCCCCACAGACAGCCUACAGUUCUCUCAGUAUUCACGGAUUAUACCAAACAGUUUCUCACGGAACUCACUUC